rnacentral:rRNA from 1 species
GUACACGAGCGGCGAACGGGUGAGUAACACGUGGGUGAUCUGCCUUGCACUCUGGGAUAAGCCUGGGAAACUGGGUCUAAUACCGGAUAUGACCUGCAGUUGCAUGACUGUGGGUGGAAAGAUUUAUCGGUGCAAGAUGAGCCCGCGGCCUAUCAGCUUGUUGGUGGGGUAAUGGCCUACCAAGGCGACGACGGGUAGCCGGCCUGAGAGGGCGACCGGCCACACUGGGACUGAGACACGGCCCAGACUCCUACGGGAGGCAGCAGUGGGGAAUAUUGCACAAUGGGCGGAAGCCUGAUGCAGCGACGCCGCGUGAGGGAUGACGGCCUUCGGGUUGUAAACCUCUUUCGACUCCGACGAAGCGAAAGUGACGGUAGGAGUAUAAGAAGCACCGGCCAACUACGUGCCAGCAGCCGCGGUAAUACGUAGGGUGCGAGCGUUGUCCGGAAUUACUGGGCGUAAAGAGCUUGUAGGCGGUCUGUCACGUCUUCUGUGA